rnacentral:lncRNA from 1 species
AGGUCAACUUUCCCCAAAUCAACGCCCUGAUUGUUUUUCAGAUCAUCAUCAGAUGGCGACACAGCACCCAAUCAAAAAAUCCCUAUGCACGUUAGCCGAACAUGUGAUGCAAGCUUAUGACUGACAAGGAAACCAUGUUUGUACUACACAAGAUCUUCAUCAUAACACUUGUACAGAAAUUCUGCAGGAAAUUGCAAUAUGGUAGGAUUACCAUGUGAGCCAAGUGACUAAUCAAUGCUCAUAUAUAUGACUCACUGGUUCCCUCAUAUAACGGGGAUCGUUUUUAUCUAGGUCUGAAAACGUUCAUAGAUGGCUCACUGGUUCCUCACCUCCACUUAAAUUACAUGAUUUUGCUUGGAGAGUGUUGAGUAGCAGCAUUAUUUGUACUAGCGGAUUAAAGAGCUAAACUAUGGCUCGAAUCAGACCUUCACCUAUUUUCGCUAGUCUUGUUUCUUCCUUUUAGUUGAAACAACUAAGUAAUUUAUUUGUACACUAUAUGGAGGUUAUUAUUUUUGGAUGUUAGCCAUCUCAUAUAAAAACAUCAAAAUGAUCAAAUACAUACUAGGGUUUAAAAUAAAGGGACUUGAUAAAAAGAGCGUGGAUGGAUUUGCAUCAUGUCAUUAUAGAUUCUUCCCUUUCCUGGUACUUGCGAUAUGGCACAAAAGAUGCCGUACUAAUUCUGUAUGCAAUACAUCAUGUUCACAUGUUCUUGGUUUAUGUUGACACCACAGCGAAGCAUUCGGUCUACAUGUAUAAACCCACAAAAGGAUUCCCACAGAUUCCUUCAUGAUCUCUUUAGUAUUCAAAGUAUUGCAGGAUUUAUAACUGAAUAUAAAAUAUAGGGAAAAGUAGAUAAAUUAGAGAAAUAAAAAAAUAACAUGUAGAUGUAUUUGGACAAGGCAAGUUUUUAAACAAUAGUUCCUUGUGCAUCUCUUUAACAAACCGUAAAUUCAAUUGUGAACCUUUCAUAUCGUUUUACCUAAUAAUGGCACCUAAUUGGUUAUAGUUUUUUAGGUACUCCAUUUGAACGCAUGUGGAACUAUAUCCUCUGGAGACAAUAUUAUGACUUUUGGGAUAUAAAAGGAAGAGGCCGAUAGGUAUAUGCUUAAACGCAUGCCCUAAUUUCUAGAGUCACCCCUACUGGCAUGACAAAUGAUCUUGAACUGCCGAGUCCUUGCCCCAUAUGGAGGUGGAAUAUGAACCGCCUCUCCUUCGACUACGAGAGCAAACAAGUGAAUGUUGUCAAUCAAUCCACUGGCGAGACUAGCCCUGAUUUUUUGAGCUGUGCAUAACUAAGGUAGGCAAAAUAAGUGACGAAUUGGUCUAGAAACAACAAAAGAGUGUCGAAUUACAUUUGAACUGUGGUAUAAAAUAAUAAUGUUAGUAGUCAUACUCCAUGCUGUCGUCAUACAAGAUCUCGAGAAUCUACAGAUAUUUUUGGACAAAAAUCUAGGCUAUACCGAAUAGUACAUCAAUUAGUUCAUACACAACAAAUUAUCUGCGACAUCAACUUUUAAUAAAUAUUCGUAGCUUUGUUUGGACUUCAUUGGUAGAAUCAGGCAUACUGGACGCCAUCUUAUUCCAUCUUUCACUUCAAAAUAGGCCCCUCUUUAGUUUAAGAAGCCUUAUGUCAGACAACGCAACAGAUUUUUGCAAGCACCACAGGUUCUAUUUACUGAAGUAGACUGUCGAUGUCAAUGGAUUCGCCAAUAUAAAAUAAGUUUUCGCACUGGCCAACCUCCCACUCUAGGCACCCGCCUAGAGGCUGCCACCAUGGCGAGCUCAUACCCAGCUCUUCCAGCACCGGGGUUGACUGCUCGAGAAGCUCAGCAGCCUCAUGGUCCAUGGCUGCUUGCAGCUCCUCCGGUGAAUUACACAAAUCCGGUUUCUCACACACCACCAGGCCGUCAUCGUCGCAAGUCGACGAGGGUGAACCAUUUAGUUCCCCAUCCAUGACGCCUGCAGAACCAAAGUUGAUGACGAACUUCUCUACCUUUUCGUCGUUGCCCAUGAGUGAGGUGCCCAUGCAGCAGGUGUGUUCAUCAAAGUAGGUUAUGAUAUAGACGGAAGGGUCGGCCUCCGACUGCUGCACCUGCCGCCUGGCCCUGCAGCCGUUGUCAUCGUUGUAGCUGCAGCGGAAGUAGAGCCUGCCCGACAACAUGUUGACACGAUCAAACUUGGAUGCUUGGUUAAUUACUUGAACAAUUGCUUCCAUGGGGAUGCGAUUUAUCUGAUGAAUCUUGUGAUUGAACAACAGAUCCCCACCUCGGGUGCUUGCUGCCGUGGAUGUUCUUUUGCCCGUACUUCCUCCAGGCGAAGCCGUCCUCCAUUGUCCAUUUCUUCUCCACUCGUAUUCCUCUCUCGCCACCGCUGACCCUGCACAUUAGUAUUUAGUACUCAACUGUUUUUGUAUUGAAUUCGAAGAUGCAGUGAUGACCAACCACGAGAUUGAUUGUUAAGUACCUCAGCCUUUUGGACCUCGUUGUAGAAGGCAGAUCAGCUGGGCCACCGCGCUCUGGCUUGCGCUUCUUGCCCAUGCUCCCAUUCAGCGCGGCGAGGGCUCGGUCGCAGCAAUGUAGGAUCUGCUCGACAAGGUCCUGAAGCUCAUGGGGCAUCGUGCUGAUCUCCGGCAGCUGCUGCUGGUCUAGCAUAGCGUGCAGACGGGCAGCUGACUCCCUUCCCUUGGCAAGAAUCUCUGACGCUGCAAAACCAGGAGCGCUCACCCUUUCCAUAUGCUUCCCCUCCCCUCACUCUCUGGAAGGACUAUAUGAUAGGAUCUGAGUGAUCUCUUUGUGCCUUUGCCAAUUUCGGAUGCGGUGUCCUGGGAAAAGGAGCCAGCUGCUAGACUAGCAUAUAUAGAGAGAAACAGAGCUGGCCUGGCAGCGAUUAAUCUGGUAACGCGCAGUUUCUAAUUGUUCUGCUUAGUAGCUCAGAUCUAGUCGCCAUGUCGUAUAGCUUAAUAGAUCGAUUACUCCUCCCCUUCCGUUGACAAAAAUAUUAGUUGUUUGAGACACGACACAACAAUAAAAAAUAGAUCAAAUGGCAAUGUUGCCCUUCAUUGAUUUUGUAUUUGUAAGGACAAGUAAUGACAAUGUGUAUUGAUUUGUCGUAUAGCAAAUACGGGUCAAAUAAAAAUGUUGACAUUUUUUUAUUAGAGUGCGUUAUAAAAUGGGAUUUACUUUAAAUUUAACCAAGAUCUUGCUUAUGUUUUAUGUAUUUUAAAUUUUCUUCAUUAUACUCUUUACACUAGGGUGUGAUAUUUUCCAGUAAUUAAUAUCCACAAUAACGAAUGCACAAUGGAAUGUGAUCCCAGCGGUAAAUUGAUCAUAAAUCCAAUAAGAAAAAUAUUUAAGCUUCCGCACAAAAAUAUUACAACUGCACAUGUCAUUCUGGCCAACAAAAUGUGACUUAGAUGAAAGUCAUAGGCAAAAUCUAAGUUACCUUACAUGGUAAAGGUUUCAAAUGAACAUUUUGAUCUGUAAGCUUUUCCUCCAAAUCAAACUGCUCAAAAUUGGAACCAAGAUCAACUUAAUUGACAUAGGUCUUUCUUAUGCAUGUGAAAUCAUUUGUUGUGGUACUUGCAUGUCCUUGACAUUUGAGACGAAAUUUUUUCACUGUACCAUGCUGAAAAGGAUUUUCAAGACUAAUCAGCACAUAUAAUUUCGCUAUAUAUUCAAAGCCAAAUACUCCAGAAACAUUAUAUUGACAGUCAAAGUUUCAGAAGCUUUGCUGGAUCGAGUUGGCGCAAAGCAUCACAUUUUCAUGACCAAUCGUUUGACAUAGCCAUGAACAAUCAUGGAGAUGGGUAGAGUAGACGACAAAUUACGCACAUAGCAGGCUUGUGUCCUAUUCGCCUGUUCUUGUGCCGCGGGUUCCGGUGUUUUCUUUAUUUCGCUCCCAAGAAACCUGGCAUUGUUUACAAGGUAAGAGGGGCUAAGUGUGGGUUAGAGAAACUAGCCUCGGUGAUCACGCGGCGGGCAAGGCUUGCAAUGAUUAACAAAUACAAUAUGGUACUGGGUGACAGAUGCAGGGAUAAGACCUUGAGAUUGAGACGCAGGUGCUCACACUGUACUGCCACUUGCAGGUCAACUUUCCAAAAAUCAAGACCCUGCAGCUUGUGUUCUAUCAUCAGCAGAUGGUGACGCUUAAAGCCUCAAACAAUACCUCUAUAUAACAUACACGCACUCACGCAGACUUACCCGGAAUUUUUAAAGCCGUUACACACCAGCUUGCAGGUAUGAACGAUCAGUCGAUGCCAACAAAUGGUGUGUGGAAAGGGGAAACGUGCCAUCACCUUUGCAACGUAAGCCAUGCUGCUUAGCCAAGGUAACCCUGAUGUCAGCUACAUUUUUAUUUAUAUAUGAACGUCGUUUGAACAAAUCGCUAAUGCAAGCUUAUUGCUAGAAGUCUGUUUUGUUGAAGGUCUUAAGCUGGUCACUCUUAGAGUGAUGCCAGCCAUUGGAAGGAAAAUCAAAAUGUGGAUGAGUAAUACUCCCUCCAUCCCAAAUUAUAAGUCAUUCCAAGAAUCUUGGAGAGUCAAAGCAUCUCAAGUUUGAUCAAAAUUAUAGAGAAAAUUAUAAAGAUUUAUGAUAUCAAAU